UGACUGCUCCUGUGGCCUAAGUAGUUAGAGUGUUUGCCUUAGAUGCAGGAGGUCAUGGGUUCGAAUCCCAGUCGAGUCAU